GACGAACGCUGGCGGCGUGCCUAACACAUGCAAGUCGAACGAGAAUCAUGGAACGGCGGCUUCGGCCAAAGGGAAGUGAGGAAAGUGGCGAACGGGUGAGUAACGCGUGAGAAACCUGCCUAUGCGUGUGGAAUAACACAGGGAAACUUGUGCUAAUACCGCAUAACAUGUAGCCUUCGCAUGUGGGCUACAUCAAAGAGCAAUUGCGCAUAGAUGGACUCGCGUCUGAUUAGCUAGUUGGUGAGGUAACGGCUCACCAAGGCGACGAUCAGUAGCCGAACUGAGAGGUUGAACGGCCACAUUGGAACUGAGAAACGGUCCAGACUCCUACGGGAGGCAGCAGUGGGGAAUAUUGGGCAAUGGACGAAAGUCUGACCCAGCGACGCCGCGUGAGGGAAGAAGGUCUUCGGAUUGUAAACCUCUGUUGUAAGGGAAGAAGAAAGUGACGGUACCUUACGAGGAAGCCACGGCUAACUACGUGCCAGCAGCCGC
rnacentral:rRNA from 1 species